AACGAACGCUGGCGGCAUGCCUAACACAUGCAAGUCGAACGAGACCUUCGGGUCUAGUGGCGCACGGGUGCGUAACGCGUGGGAACCUGCCCUUAGGUUCGGAAUAACUCCCCGAAAGGGGUGCUAAUACCGGAUAAUGUCUUCGGACCAAAGAUUUAUCGCCUUUGGAGGGGCCAGCGUUGGAUUAGAUAGUUGGUAGGGUAAAAGCCUACCAAGGCGACGAUCCAUAGCUGGUCUGAGAGGAUGAUCAGCCACACUGGGACUGAGACACGGCCCAGACUCCUACGGGAGGCAGCAGUGGGGAAUAUUGGACAAUGGGCGAAAGCAUGAACCAGCAAUGCCGCGUGAGUGAUGAAGGCCUUAGAGUUGUAAAGCUCUUUUACCCGGGAUGAUAAUGACAGUACCGGGAGAAUAAGCUCCGGCUAACUCCGUG
rnacentral:rRNA from 1 species